rnacentral:rRNA from 1 species
UACGAAGGGAGCGAGCGUUGUUCGGAAUCACUGGGCUUAAAGCGUGCGUAGGUGGAUUGGUAAGUAAGGAGUGAAAUCCCAGGGCUUAACCCUGGAACUGCUCUUUAGACUGCCUGUCUGGAAUUCGGAAGAGGUUGGUGGAACUCCCAGUGUAGAGGUGAAAUUCGUUAGAUAUUCGCAAGAACACCAGUGGCGAAGGCGGCUCACUGGCCCAUAACUGACGCUGAGGCACGAAAGCGUGGGGAGCAAACAGGG